ensembl:lncRNA
GCUAGACUGAAGGAGGAGAUUCUUUACCUAGAUCCUGUGGCUUAUAGGUAUCCUAGAGGGCUAUGCAGAGUAAAGGAGGCCCAGAUCAGAACAAUCUCAAACUGGAUACAAUCUAGGAGGAAGAAGAUUCAUCAAAUAAGUACUCCUGUAUGAGUUAAAAUUAAGAGACUGGUCAUAAAUGAAUAUUUUUAUUAAAUCAAAAGUAGCAGAAGAAAAGAUGGAAAAAUAGGAGAAAGCUAUAGAGUUUACUUACUGAUCCAUUUAACUUGCUAUGCUAUGGCCACUAGGGUGUAUGGGGUGCUCAGGGAGGGGUAGUAUCUCUGGUAUGGAGGGCUUGUCGUGCCCUCCUUGGGCAGCUCUCCAGCCUCUGACCCUCACCUGACACCCAGCUCUUACUUGUGGCUCCCAGUAGCUGCUAGCAUGCGGCAGCGGUCACACCCCGGGCAACGGCUUCGACAGGCCGGCUAAACCUUGUGAGGGUAGCCAUCUGGUCAUAGACCCCUGGUGAACCAGGGCUUUGCUCACCUAGCAUGUGAAGACUGCUUCGGCGGAACAGAUGGAAGAAACCAAUAAGAAGGUUCAACGGCUGAGAGGGCAAUGCAGCAAAGCACUGUGGAGUGCUUAGGGCGUGUUGGAGCACAAAAGACAACAUGGCCAUCCAAUGCAGCUGAGGAAGUCUCCAGGUGUAACAACUUUUCGUGCCACUGGACCCAGGCUUCCAACGUCGAGAGUGGGAUUGUCUCUGUGCAUCGACUUUUCCACUUAAAUCUCCUUCAUGCACAAGUGUCUUUGUGCACACUCAUCUACAUCACAGAUGAAAGCACACAAAGACAAUCGUCAUCCUCGGUUACCAAAAGACUACUACUAUUAUGGAUACUAUGAGGGCCCCCUACUACACGGGAAGUCCAGUCAGCACCAAACCCAGAAGCAAAGAGAGAGAAAUUCACUCUUGCUUCAGUUUAUCAAACCUUGUCUCCAUCCACUAACUUAUAUGUCAUGUCUUGGGAGCCAACUAUGGCUUCCUAUUUUGCCUGUGUCCCCCAGGAGGGCAGUCCAGUGGGUACUGCAGCUCAUUUUACAGAUGAGGAGAUUGAGUCAAAAACAUUAAGUGAUGAGGCAGAGUCAAGAUGGCGGCCUAGAAGGAGCAGAAGUUCAGACCUCUGAAUACCCUUCCUUACCGAUCACAAACUGAAUGCUCCUAGGGGACUGAAAAUCAAACCUAACAACAAGACAGAGCCAAGGAACCCUCCUGCGGGACUCAAUUCAAAAGGUAGCCCCCCCCCCAAAAGCCGGAAUCCUAGAACACUAGGGUUUAAGGGGAAGGCAGAAAGAAGGUCCCAGGACCCCUCCCCCACCUAGAGCGCUAUGCCUCCAGUGGCAGCAGGAACCUCUGGGCGGCCAAAGGUGCUGGUCUGGAGGGUGUACCUUGCGGAGAGGGCUGUGCCAAGCUCAGAGCAUCAAACACAGAUGGCAGGGAAGGAACUGAAGAGGGAGCAUAGAGCUGGCAGCCUGGUCAGAGCUGUGGAGGUCCUCCAUAUUGUUCCAGCCUUCCAGGAGGUUUUGGCCUCAGAGCACACCCAGCCCAACCCAGCUGAACUUAAUCCCAUCAAAACUCUUUAGAGCUCAGGGAAGCUCAGGCUCCAACACCCCUCCCUCAUUGACUUCUGGAGUUUAAUCCAAUCAAAAGCCUCCAGAGGACAGGGAAGCUCAAACCCCAACAAACCUCUACCAGAGACUACACAGAGAGAUCUCCCGUUAAAGUUCCAAGAGGGGAGACUGACAGAAGCCCCCCAAAACCAAAAAAAAUGAGAGGAGCAAGAGCACAGACAAAUAUGGGGAGUAAAGAAGGGGUGAAUUUGAACACUAGAAUACUAGAAAAUCAACCAAAAAGCUAGUCAAAAUAAUCAACAACUUUAGCAAAGUCUCAGGAUACAAAAUAAACCCACACAAGUCAUCA